rnacentral:rRNA from 1 species
GACGAACCGUGCGAACGUUGUUCGGAAUCACUGGGCUUAAAGGGCGCGUAGGCGGAUGACCAAGUCAGGGUGAAAGCCCGCAGCUCAACUGCGGAAGUGCCUUUGAUACUGGUUGUCUCGAGGGAGAUAGGGGCAUGUGGAACUUCCGGUGGAGCGGUGAAAUGCGUAGAUAUCGGAAGGAACGCCGGUGGCGAAGCGACGUGCUGGAUCUCUUCUGACGCUGAGGCGCGAAAGCUAGGGGAGCAAACGGG